UUAUGGCCACAUCAAGUUGAAACAGCGGUUCCCGUACGAUCACCGAAGUUAAGCAUCAUCGAACCUGGAUGGGUGACCGCUUUGGAAUACCAGGUGCUGUAA